ensembl:lncRNA
GGGGAAGGGGUCCUGUCAUGUUUUUGAAUAAUGUUUUUUUGCACUUUGGACUUUGGCGGCAUCAAGUGGCCGUACAUGUGUUAUUUAAGUAUUUUCUGUUCCCUUGCUUUGCCAAUUAGCCCUGUCACCUGUGUCUUGUUGCUCCGGUCACAUGACCAAUCAAGCCAUGCCUUUAAGCCCUGCUUUUGCCGAUGUUCAGUGCUUAGUCUUUGAUGUGCCACGUUCGUACUCUGACCGAAGCUAGUCUUGUAUUGGAAAUGAUUAUUGAUCCCCUGUGAUUUGACCGCUUGCCUGCCCUCUGGAUUACCCACUUGGAUUUGCCCCUUUGGGGCAGCCUGUAAGGAAUGGAUCCUAUCAAUCCAUUACCAUGAGCCUCCUGGCUCCCAGCCUCCUCCAACACAAGGCACCCUUCCACAUUUCAAAGAUCCCUCUCUGUUUCUCCUGCAGAUCGAUGUGUAGGAGGUUCAGUUCAUGGUAAAGGAGGAGCGCCGCAGCCUGCUGGAUUAUGAAGACAAUGGCAGCACCAAAAUAGAUCAGCAGCACCAGAUAAGAUUAUGUAUUUGAUUUAUUUUCGACCGGAUUCUGCAAGAUUUAGGAGAGCACAGCGCUUCUCUGAGUUUAGUGCACAACAUAAAUGGUCUCACGUGGCUAGGGUCAGACACGGCAGGGGGCUUCACGUCUUGCAUGAUGAGUAAGUGAAGUUUCAUGUUAAUGGCAUAACAUGCCUUAUGGUCAGUCUACUGACCAUGUCUACUGUCUAUUGUGGAAUAUAUAGCUAAAAAUAGCUUUAGUAUAACCAGCAGCCUUUCUAACUUGAGCUUGUUGCUCUAUUUGCUCUUAUUCUGAAGAUACAUAGUUCAUUUAUUUAUUGAGUAUUACUCUGUUAUUAUUUUUGGAUAAUGUGAACAUGUGAUUGGUAAAUAAACCCUCUGACUUGCAGAGAUUGGACCGCUCAGACUGUGAUUACGAUGAAUCUAACGUGGAUUGGUCAAUAGUGGUUGAAGAGCCAACAAUGAUUGUCAAAGCAUCGUGGAAAUCCGUCUAAGGCCGGCCCAUCCCAACCCCAGCCUGGCAGAAAAUGUCAUACUUGAUCUAUUCGACUGGACGUGCACAACACAGACACAUGCACAUCGCACACAGAACAAACACAUGCACCUCAUGCACAGCACACACACACAUGCAGUCUUUCCGGCCGGAAGUUCAGUAAGCAUUAGAAAAACUGGACCAUGUGUUUGUGUGCAUGUGUGUGUCAGGAUGACUGGAUGAGGUGAGGGAGGCUCAUAUGUGUUUUGAGCCAGCGUGACUCAUUUCCUGUGGUAAAUUCACAGCCCAAACACGACAAAUUCUCUCUCUCCCUCUCUGUCUUCCUUUCACUCACAAUAAUUAAGUUGAAAUUAAGCUUGAAGUGAUCUG